rnacentral:rRNA from 1 species
AGCCUAACUCUAGCCCAACCACAAUUUUAGCCCCACAGUCAAAAACCAACUCUACCGCCAAAUUAAAACAUUCACCAAACCCUAGUAUAGGCGAUAGAAAGGGAACCCCCGGCGCCAUAGAGACUUGUACCGUAAGGGAAGGAUGAAAUAAUAAUGAAACCUAAAGCCACAUGCAGCAAAGAUCAGCCCUUGUACCUCUUGCAUCAUGGUCUAGCAAGAACAACCAAGCGAAACGAAUUUAAGCUUGCCACCCCGAAACCCAAGCGAGCUACUUACAAGCAGCUAACAUGAGCGAACCCGUCUCUGUCGCAAAAGAGUGGGAUGACUUGUCAGUAGAGGUGAAAAGCCAACCGAGCUGGGUGAUAGCUGGUUGCCUGUGAAACGAAUCUAAGUUCAUUCUUGGCCCUUUCCACCGGACAUCCAACAUCUAACCCAACGCGUAACUAACCAAGAACAAUUUAAGGGGGGUACAGCUCCCUUAAAAAAGAACACAACCUCCUCCAGCGGAUAAAAGCUCAACCCAACAAAAUCUUGUGGGCCUUAAAGCAGCCACCAAUGAAGAGUGCGUCAAAGCUCAAUACCACAAAAAUCUAAAAACCACAUGACUCCCUUACCCACUAACAGGCCAACCUAUGACGAUAGGAGAAUUAAUGCUAGAAUGAGUAACUACGGGCCACCCCUCUCAAGCGCAGGCUUAUACCCGCACUAAUCAACAGACGUCCAGUAUCUAAAUUACAACAAGAUUCGAUAUUAAACAACAUCUGUUACUAACCGACCCAGGAGCGCCCAUUAAGAAAGAUUCAAACCUGUAAAAGGAACUAGGCAAACCUAAGGCCCGACUGUUUACCAAAAACAUAGCCUUCAGCAAACCAAGUAUUGAAGGUGAUGCCUGCCCAGUGACACCACGUUCAACGGCCGCGGUAUCCUAACCGUGCGAAGGUAGCGCAAUCAAUUGUCCCAUAAAUUGAGACUUGUAUGAAUGGCUAAACGAGGUCUUAACUGUCUCUUACAGGUAAUCAGUGAAAUUGAUCUCCCCGUGCAAAAGCAGGGAUAAACACAUAAGACGAGAAGACCCUGUGGAACUUAAAAAUCUAUAGCCACUCCACAAAAAACUCCACACCUACUAGGUUCAUCCAUGUAAAUGCUGGCCUAUAAUCUUUCGGUUGGGGCGACCUUGGAGAAAAACAAAUCCUCCAAAAACAAGACCACACCUCUUAACCAAGAGCAACUCCUCAACGUACUAACAGUAACCAGACCCAAUAUAAUUGACUAAUGGACCAAGCUACCCCAGGGAUAACAGCGCAAUCUCCUUCAAGAGCCCAUAUCGACAAGGAGGUUUACGACCUCGAUGUUGGAUCAGGACAUCCUAAUGGUGCAGCCGCUAUUAAGGGUUCGUUUGUUCAACGAUUAACAGUCCUACGUGAUCUGAGUUCAGACCGGAGCAAUCCAGGUCGGUUUCUAUCUAUGACGGGGCUUUCCCCAGUACGAAAGGACCGGAAAAGUAAGGCCAAUGCAACUAGUACGCCUUCUCAACAAGCAAUGAAGUCAACUAAAUUGCCAAGUAAACCCACCACCACACCCUUAGAAUAGGGGGA